rnacentral:rRNA from 1 species
UACAGAGGGUGCUAGCGUUGUUCGGAAUUAUUGGGCGUAAAGGGCGCGUAGGCGGCCCUGUGUGUCGGGUGUGAAAGCCCACCUCUUAAAGGUGGAAUUGCAUUCGAAACUACAGGGCUGGAGUGUCGGAGAGGAUGGCGGAAUUCCUGGUGUAGAGGUGAAAUUCGUAGAUAUCAGGAGGAACGACCGGUGGCGAAGGCGGCCAUCUGGACGACGAA